GAUGAAGAACGUAGCGAAAGGCGAUAAGUAAUGUGAAUUCCAGAAUUCAGUGAAUCAUCGAAUCUUUGAACGCACAUUGCGCCCGUCAGUAUUCUGGCGGGCAUGCCUGUUCGAGCGUCAUUACGCCCCUCAAGUCCCCUGUGGACUUGGUGUUGGGGAUCGGCGAGGCUGGUUUUCCAGCACAGCCGUCCCUUAAAUUAAUUGGCGGUCUCGCCGUGGCCCUCCUCUGCGCAGUAGUAAAACACUCGCAACAGGAGCCCGGCGCGGUCCACUGCCGUAAAACCCCCCAACUUUUUAUAGUUGACCUCGAAUCAGGUAGGACUACCCGCUGAACUUAAGCAUAUCAAUAAGCGGAGGA
rnacentral:misc_RNA from 1 species